UGGGGAAUGGUGGACAAUGGGCGAUAGCCUGAUCCAGCCAUGCCGCGUGAGUGAAGAAGGCCUUCGGGUUGUAAAGCUCUUUUAGUCGGAAAGAAAGAGUCAUAGUAAAUAGCUAUGAUUUAUGACGGUACCGACAGAAAAAGCACCGGCUAACUACGUGCCAGCAGCCGCGGUAAUACGUAGGGUGCGAGCGUUAAUCGGAAUUACUGAGCGUAAAGGGUGCGCAGGCGGCCUUGUAAGUCAGAUGUGAAAGCCCCGGGCUUAACCUGGGAAUUGCGUUUGAAACUACAAAGAGAGAGUGCAGCAGAGGUGAGUGGAAUUCCAUGUGUAGGAGUGAAAUGCGUAGCUAUGUGGAAGAUCACCGAUGGCGAAGGCAGCUCCCUGGGUUGACACUGACGCUCAUGCACGAAAGCGUGGGGAGCAAACAGGAUUAGAUACGUUGGUAGUCCACGCCCUAAACUAUGUCAACUAGUUGUCGGAUCUAAUUAAGGAUUUGGUAACGUAGCUAACGCGUGAAGUUGGACGUCUGGGGAGUACGAUCGCAAGA
rnacentral:rRNA from 1 species